CACGAGUUUGAUCAUGGCUCAGAUUGAACGCUGGCGGAAUGCUUUACACAUGCAAGUCGAACGGUAGAGGGGGCAACCCUUGAGAGUGGCGAACGGGUGAGUAAUAUAUCGGAACGUGCCCAGUCGUGGGGGAUAACGUAGCGAAAGUUACGCUAAUACCGCAUACGAUCUAAGGAUGAAAGCGGGGGAUCGCAAGACCUCGCGCGAUUGGAGCGGCCGAUAUCAGAUUAGGUAGUUGGUGAGGUAAAGGCUCACCAAGCCAACGAUCUGUAGCUGGUCUGAGAGGACGACCAGCCACACUGGAACUGAGACACGGUCCAGACUCCUACGGGAGGCAGCAGUGGGGAAUUUUGGACAAUGGACGCAAGUCUGAUCCAGCCAUUCCGCGUGCAGGAUGAAGGCCCUCGGGUUGUAAACUGCUUUUGUACGGAACGAAAAGGUUUCUAUUAAUACUAGGAGCUCAUGACGGUACCGUAAGAAUAAGCACCGGCUAACUACGUG
rnacentral:rRNA from 1 species